rnacentral:rRNA from 1 species
GAUGAACGCUGGCGGCGUGCCUAAUACAUGCAAGUCGAGCGAACAGACGAGGAGCUUGCUCCUCUGACGUUAGCGGCGGACGGGUGAGUAACACGUGGAUAACCUACCUAUAAGACUGGGAUAACUUCGGGAAACCGGAGCUAAUACCGGAUAACAUGUUGAACCGCAUGGUUCAACAGUGAAAGACGGUCUUGCUGUCACUUAUAGAUGGAUCCGCGCCGCAUUAGCUAGUUGGUAAGGUAACGGCUUACCAAGGCAACGAUGCGUAGCCGACCUGAGAGGGUGGUCGCCCACCCUGGAGCUGGGACACGGUCCAUACUCCUGCGGGAGGCAGCAGUAGGGAAUCUUCCGCAAUGGGCGAAAGCCUGACGGAGCAACGCCGCGUGAGUGAAGAAGGUCUUCGGAUCGUAAAACUCUGUUAUUAGGGAAGAACAAAUGUGUAAGUAACUAUGCACGUCUUGACGGUACCUAAUCAGAAAGCCACGGCUAACUACGUG